CCUACGGGAGGCAGCAGUGAGGAAUAUUGGUCAAUGGCCGGAAGGCUGAACCAGCCAAGCCGCGUGAAGGACGAAGGUGCCAAGCAUUGUAAACUUCUUUUGUCAAGGGACAAAAUCAGGCUCGAGAGCCUGACCGAGGGUACUUGAAGAAAAAGCAUCGGCUAACUCCGUGCCAGCAGCCGCGGUAAUACGGAGGAUGCGAGCGUUAUCCGGAUUGAUUGGGUUUAAAGGGUGCGUAUGCGGGCUGUUAAGUCAGCGGUAAAAGCCCGGGGCUCAACCCCGGCGAGCCGUUGAAACUGGCUGUCUUGAGAUGUCGAGAGGUAUGCGGAAUGCGCAGUGUAGCGGUGAAAUGCUUAGAUAUUGGGCAGAACUCCGAUUGCGAAGGCAGCAUACCGGCGGCGAUCUGACGCUGAGGCACGAAAGCGUGGGUAUCGAACAGGAUUAGAUACCCUAGUAGUC
rnacentral:rRNA from 1 species